rnacentral:rRNA from 1 species
UUAAGCGACUAAGCGUACACGGUGGAUGCCCUGGCAGUCAGAGGCGAUGAAGGGCGUGCUAAUCUGCGAUAAGCGCCGGUAAGGUGAUAUGAACCGUUAUAACCGGCGAUACCCGAAUGGGGAAACCCAGUGUGAUUCGUCACACUAUCAUUAACUGAAUCCAUAGGUUAAUGAGGCGAACCGGGGGAACUGAAACAUCUAAGUACCCCGAGGAAAAGAAAUCAACCGAGAUUCCCCCAGUAGCGGCGAGCGAACGGGGAGGAGCCCAGAGCCUGAAUCAGCAUGUGUGUUAGUGGAAGCGUCUGGAAAGGCGCGCGAUACAGGGUGACAGCCCCGUACACAAAAGCGCAUGUGCUGUGAGCUCGAUGAGUAGGGCGGGACACGUGGUAUCCUGUCUGAAUAUGGGGGGACCAUCCUCCAAGGCUAAAUACUCCUGACUGACCGAUAGUGAACCAGUACCGUGAGGGAAAGGCGAAAAGAACCCCGGCGAGGGGAGUGAAAAAGAACCUGAAACCGUGUACGUACAAGCAGUGGGAGCCCCACCACUAAGCCAGUGGUGAACUCCACAUACGCAUCCUUUGCUGAGGAUACGGUUAACGGAGCGAAAGCGACGUUCAACCUCAAAAGAAGCAGAGGGGGCUUAGUGGUGGGGUGACUGCGUACCUUUUGUAUAAUGGGUCAGCGACUUAUAUUCUGUAGCAAGGUUAACCGAAUAGGGGAGCCGGAGGGAAACCGAGUCUUAAUUGGGCGUUAAGUUGCAGGGUAUAGACCCGAAACCCGGUGAUCUAGCCAUGGGCAGGUUGAAGGUUGGGUAACACUAACUGGAGGACCGAACCGACUAAUGUUGAAAAAUUAGCGGAUGACCUGUGGCUGGGGGUGAAAGGCCAAUCAAACCGGGAGAUAGCUGGUUCUCCCCGAAAGCUAUUUAGGUAGCGCCUCGUGAAUUCAUCUCCGGGGGUAGAGCACUGUUUCGGCUAGGGGGCCAUCCCGGCUUACCAACCCGAUGCAAACUGCGAAUACCGGAGAAUGUUAUCACGGGAGACACACGGCGGGUGCUAACGUCCGUCGUGAAGAGGGAAACAACCCAGACCGCCAGCUAAGGUCCCAAAGUCAUGGUUAAGUGGGAAACGAUGUGGGAAGGCCCAGACAGCCAGGAUGUUGGCUUAGAAGCAGCCAUCAUUUAAAGAAAGCGUAAUAGCUCACUGGUCGAGUCGGCCUGCGCGGAAGAUGUAACGGGGCUAAACCAUGCACCGAAGCUGCGGCAGCGACGCUUAUGCGUUGUUGGGUAGGGGAGCGUUCUGUAAGCCUGCGAAGGUGGCCUGUGAGGGUUGCUGGAGGUAUCAGAAGUGCGAAUGCUGACAUAAGUAACGAUAAAGCGGGUGAAAAGCCCGCUCGCCGGAAGACCAAGGGUUCCUGUCCAACGUUAAUCGGGGCAGGGUGAGUCGACCCCUAAGGCGAGGCCGAAAGGCGUAGUCGAUGGGAAACGGGUUAAUAUUCCCGUACUUGGUGUUACUGCGAAGGGGGGACGGAGAAGGCUAUGUUGGCCGGGCGACGGUUGUCCCGGUUUAAGCGUGUAGGUGUGUGUUCCAGGUAAAUCCGGUUCACUUUAACACUGAGGCGUGACGACGAGGCACUACGGUGCUGAAGCAACAAAUGCCCUGCUUCCAGGAAAAGCCUCUAAGCAUCAGGUAACAUCAAAUCGUACCCCAAACCGACACAGGUGGUCAGGUAGAGAAUACCAAGGCGCUUGAGAGAACUCGGGUGAAGGAACUAGGCAAAAUGGUGCCGUAACUUCGGGAGAAGGCACGCUGACACGUAGGUGAAGUGAUUUACUCACGGAGCUGAAGUCAGUCGAAGAUACCAGCUGGCUGCAACUGUUUAUUAAAAACACAGCACUGUGCAAACACGAAAGUGGACGUAUACGGUGUGACGCCUGCCCGGUGCCGGAAGGUUAAUUGAUGGGGUCAGCGCAAGCGAAGCUCCUGAUCGAAGCCCCGGUAAACGGCGGCCGUAACUAUAACGGUCCUAAGGUAGCGAAAUUCCUUGUCGGGUAAGUUCCGACCUGCACGAAUGGCGUAAUGAUGGCCAGGCUGUCUCCACCCGAGACUCAGUGAAAUUGAACUCGCUGUGAAGAUGCAGUGUACCCGCGGCAAGACGGAAAGACCCCGUGAACCUUUACUAUAGCUUGACACUGAACAUUGAGCCUUGAUGUGUAGGAUAGGUGGGAGGCUUUGAAGCGUGGACGCCAGUCUGCGUGGAGCCGACCUUGAAAUACCACCCUUUAAUGUUUGAUGUUCUAACGUGGACCCGUUACCCGGGUUGCGGACAGUGUCUGGUGGGUAGUUUGACUGGGGCGGUCUCCUCCUAAAGAGUAACGGAGGAGCACGAAGGUUGGCUAAUCCUGGUCGGACAUCAGGAGGUUAGUGCAAUGGCAUAAGCCAGCUUGACUGCGAGCGUGACGGCGCGAGCAGGUGCGAAAGCAGGUCAUAGUGAUCCGGUGGUUCUGAAUGGAAGGGCCAUCGCUCAACGGAUAAAAGGUACUCCGGGGAUAACAGGCUGAUACCGCCCAAGAGUUCAUAUCGACGGCGGUGUUUGGCACCUCGAUGUCGGCUCAUCACAUCCUGGGGCUGAAGUAGGUCCCAAGGGUAUGGCUGUUCGCCAUUUAAAGUGGUACGCGAGCUGGGUUUAGAACGUCGUGAGACAGUUCGGUCCCUAUCUGCCGUGGGCGCUGGAGAACUGAGGGGGGCUGCUCCUAGUACGAGAGGAUCGGAGUGGACGCAUCACUGGUGUUCGGGUUGUCAUGCCAAUGGCACUGCCCGGUAGCUAAAUGCGGAAGAGAUAAGUGCUGAAAGCAUCUAAGCACGAAACUUGCCCCGAGAUGAGUUCUCCCUGAGACUUUAGGUCUCCUGAAGGAACGUUGAAGACGACGACGUUGAUAGGCCGGGUGUGUAAGCGCAGCGAUGCGUUGAGCUAACCGGUACUAAUGAACCGUGAGGCUUAACCUU